AUUCAGCUUUCCUAAAGUUGGCUGAUGUGUUCUGAGUCGGAAACAACUUCCUGAGGCUCUGUGUGCUGAAAGUUACUCAGCAGAGUGAGAAGCACUUAAGAGAAGAUCCUAAAUGUGGAUGAGUUCGUCAAAAGAGUCUUCUCCGUCAUUCACAGCAAUGAUCCAGUUGCUCGGGCCAUUACCCUUCGGAUGUUGGGCAGCAUGGCGUCUGUCAUUCCAGAAAGGAAGAAUGCACAUCACAGUAUUCGUCAAAGUUGGAUUCCCAUGAUAAUGUGGAAGUUGAAGCUGCAAUAUUU